GACGAACGCUGGCGGCGUGCUUAACACAUGCAAGUCGAACGGAAAGGCCCUGCUUUUGUGGGGUGCUCGAGUGGCGAACGGGUGAGUAACACGUGAGUAACCUGCCCUUGACUUUGGGAUAACUUCAGGAAACUGGGGCUAAUACCGGAUAGGAGCUCCUGCUGCAUGGUGGGGGUGGGAAAGUUUCGGCGGUUGGGGAUGGACUCGCGGCUUAUCAGCUUGUUGGUGGGGUAGUGGCUUACCAAGGCUUUGACGGGUAGGCGGCCUGAGAGGGUGGCCGGCCACAUUGGGACUGAGAUACGGCCCAGACUCCUACGGGAGGCAGCAGUGGGGAAUAUUGCACAAUGGGCGGAAGCCUGAUGCAGCAACGCCGCGUGCGGGAUGACGGCCUUCGGGUUGUAAACCGCUUUCGCCUGUGACGAAGCGUGAGUGACGGUAAUGGGUAAAGAAGCACCGGCUAACUACGUG
rnacentral:rRNA from 1 species